GUAUCUCACUCCCGCCACAGCUUGGGAUCGGUCUCUGCUGUUUUACGUCCUCCACCUCGGGAGCCCCCGGUGACUGUCACAGCCUCUUGCCCUGUGAUCUGCAGGUUCUGGGAGACGCACAGCUAAGAUGCCAGGACAUCCUGGAAGCUGGGAAAAGAUGGAGUUUCACUCUUGUUGCCCAGGCUGGAGUGCAUUAUCCCAAUCUCGGCUUACUACAACCUCCGCCUCCCAGGUUCUGACAACAAAGGAGAUUGUGACAUAUUGCUGGGCCUAACACUAAGGUGAUGUUAGUUAUUUGCUUUGGCUGUGCCCUUGGAAGGCAUUGAGACAUACUGCUGUGCCCAGCACCAAGAUGAUGUAACGUGACUCUUCUGCUUCAGGCCUGCCAAAAGAAAAGAUUGUGACAGAUCACUGGACCCAGCACCUAGGUGAUAUGACUCUCCUCAUUUGCCUGAGACCUGCAUAUUUUAGACAUUGUGAUAUACAACUGGAACAAACACCUAGGGGUUGGAAGGCUCCUGCCUGAGUCCCUCCCACAGGAGGCCUUGUGAUGUUUUUUUG
ensembl:lncRNA novel transcript